GUUAACGGCGUCCCAGUGGCAAAAGUGCUUGUCGACAAUGGAGCAGCUAUAAACACCAUUCCAUCUAGGAUGAUGAAAAAGUUCGCAAAGACAGAGGGUGACAUGAUUCCUACAGAAGUCAUCCUCACUAGCUUCAAUGGAGGAGCAACUUCAGCUAAGGGAGUUAUGCCAUUGGACAUAACUAUAGGUACGACUACUAGGACCACUGUCUU
rnacentral:lncRNA from 1 species